rnacentral:rRNA from 1 species
UAGAUACCCUAUUAUAUUAAGAUUAAAUUAAAAUAAAUACUGAAUUACUAAUAGUUAUUUACUUAAAAUUUAAAGAAUUUGGCGGUAAUUUAGUCUUGUUAGAGGAACUUGUUUUAAAUUUAUCGAUAAACCACGUAGAAUCUUACUUAUUUUAAUAGUUUGUAUACCAUCAUUAUUAGAUAAUUUUUAAAAAAUGUUAAUUAUUGGGAGUAAUUAUAUUAAAUAAAUUAGAUCAAGGUGCAGCUUAUAAAUAAGUUAAAAUGAGUUACAAUAAUAUUAUUUAUUACGAAAAAAUUUAGUAAGUAAAAUUGAAGAAGGAGGAUUUAAUUGUAAUAUAAAUUUAAUAAGUUUAUAUGAUAGAAGCUCUAAAUUAUGUACACAUCGCGGUUCACUUCUCA